GUCCACGCCGUAAACGAUGGGUGCUAGCCGUCGGCAAGUUUACUUGUCGGUGGCGCAGCUAACGCAUUAAGCACCCCGCCUGGGGAGUACGAUCGCAAGAUUAAACUCAAAGGAAUUGACGGGGCCCGCACAAGCGGUGGAGCAUGUGGUUCAAUUCGAAGCAACGCGAAGAACCUUACCAGGCCUUGACAUCCCGGUCGCGGGUCCCUGAAAGGGGACCUUUCAGUUCGGCUGGACCGUGACAGGUGCUGCAUGGCUGUCGU
rnacentral:rRNA from 1 species